rnacentral:rRNA from 1 species
AUGACUUUCUCCACCGCUGUCUACGCCAUGGAAAUCGAGAUACCGGCAUGUCCCAUGGUGUCAACAAACAAUAGAGCUUCACGCCGCGCCCUCAUGGAGUCGUAUCAUUGUUGUGAUGCAAUAAGAGCACUAGGACCGCCACCACACCGCUGCGAGGGAGGAGGGAGGGAGAUGAGGGUGCUGGCGGCAGUGGCGGGAGCGCCCUCCUCGUCGCCCACGGGAGCGACCGUGGGAGGAAAUAUGUCAUUCAGCAGUCUGAGCGGCGAUAUAUCAACUUAUUUUGCACAGCUCGAAGCUAUCCAACAUUUGAAUUUGUCACAUAACAAACUGACGGGAUUAGUUCCUAAUGUACUCUCGGAGUUGUCCUCUCUUGAAGUGUUAGAUUUGACGGAUAACCAACUUAGUGGAACAAUCCCUCCCGGACUUCUGAAAAGAGUGCAAGAUGGAUCCCUAACUCUAAGAUACAGCGAUAAUCCAAGCCUUUGCAGCAAUAGCAGUUCUUGUUAUCCCACCGAAAAGAACAACUCUAUGCUUGCCGUCUAUGUUGUUGCUCCAAUACUUAUAGUUAUAAUUGUCGGAUUACUCGUGGCACUACUACUCAUAAUCAGAAAAGGACAAAAAAAAGGCAGUGCAGAAGUACAAAGCGAGCUGAGUGGUGUGGGGUCGCACUUCACGAACAACGACGGUCGACACAGACUGCUGCAAAUCGAGAAUCGUCGGUUCACGUAUAGGGAGUUGGAGUUCAUAACGAACAACUUCCAUCGAGUACUCGGCCGAGGGGGGUUCGGCAUUGUCUACGCUGGUUUCUUGGAGGAUGGUACUCAGGUAGCAGUCAAGCUACGGUCUCAGUGUUCCCAUCAAGGUAUCACCGAGUUCCUGGCUGAGGCUCGGAACUUAACAAGGAUUCAUCAUAAGAAUCUUGUCUCCCUGAUUGGUUAUUGCAAGGAUGGUGAUUAUUUAGCCCUUGUAUAUGAGCAUAUGUCAGAAGGAAACCUCCAAGAUAAACUAAGAGGGAACAAUCCCAACAUUGGACGUUUAACCUGGAAACAAAGGUUGUGUAUUGCACUUGAGUCCGCACAAGUCCGUUGGGAGGCAGCUGCGUCGUGCGUAUGUGCGCGUCGUGCGCGCUGCCGGAGCGUGCGGAUCGAGCGGCAGAGCGAGCUGGGCAGCAUACGUGCGCGAGCAAGGUGGGGUACGUGCCUACACCUAUGUUGUGCCCAGAGCCAUAGGUUCGGGGGGCGGCUGUUGCGGCCGCGUCCGCGGUGCGCACGGCGAGCGCGGCGGACAUGGACGCGUCGGCUGCGAUGCGUGGCCAUGCACGGUGAUGCCGUGCGCGCAACGAGUAGCGGCGAUCGCGGAGACGAGGAGGCCGCGGAGGACCUGCGUGGUGGCGCAGAGGCUGCGGUGGCUCGGCGUGACGACCGUGAAGGCCCUGCGCUGCGGUUUGACGGCGCAGUGGUGCAGGGCAAUAAGCGCAGCGGCGAGUCGGGCGCGACCGGUGCAUGUUAUGGCUGCGCACCGGACGCGUCGGGCGCGUCGGGACCGCGGGAGUGGACCGCGUCGAGGCGCUGGACCUGGUUGCGCAGAUCGCGUACGUGCGCGGCGGGAGCGCGGGCCGGGAGCGCAGGGACGUGGGGACUGCGCGCGAAGGGCAUGGCGGCACGGUGGCAGGCUUGGCAGCGACAUCAGGGCGGUGGCGGCUACAACGACGUCGACGGCGCGGCGGAGGCCGCAGCGGUGCGGUGCGGCGGCCAUGGCGACAUCGACGACGAUGGACUCACCUGCUGUAGUUUGUGGCUUAGGGGGGUUGUUGGCGAGAAGAGCGGGGUGCUCAUGCUCAGUCCGUUGGGAGGCAGCCGCGUCGUGCGUAUGUGCGCGUCGUGCGCGCUGCCGGAGCGUGCGGAUCGAGCGGCAGAGCAAGCUGGGCAGCGUACGUGCGCGAGCAAGGUGGGGUACGUGCCUACACCUAUGAUGUGCCCAGGACUCGAGUAUCUGCAUAAAGCGUGCAGUCCACCCUUCAUACAUCGAGAUGUGAAGACAUCAAACAUCCUACUAAAUGCAAAUCUUAAGGCCAAGGUUUCUGAUUUUGGCUUACUGAAGGCUUUCAAUCAUGAUGAUGACACUCAUGCAUCGACGGCUAGGUCAAUGACAAUUCAAAUGCACCCCAUAUCAUGCAGGUACGUGGCAUCCCUACAACUAACCGAAAAGAGCGAUGUGUAUAGUUUUGGAGUCGUGUUGUUAGAGGUGGUCACAGGGCAGCCGCCCAUACUACAAAGCCCUGAGCCCACUAGUAUUGUUGAGUGGGCGCGGGAGUGCCUUGUUCAAGGAAAGAUUGAGAACAUUGUGGAUGAUUGCAUGCGAGGUGACUAUGAUGUCAACAGUGUGUGGAAGGCUGCAAAAGUUGCCCUCAAAUGCACCAAGCAAGCUCCCGCACAACGGUACACAAUGACAGAAGUGGUGGCCCGACUGCAAGAGUGUUUGGAGCUUGAGGAGAGUCGUACAAAUGCUGAUGAUUCCAACUCAAGUUACGGUAUACAAGACAUUGAGCCAUACACUAAUAUUGGCCAGAGUAAUUGGACAUCCGAGAUGGAGCACCAUUAUGGCAAGGCACUGGCCACCGAUUUGUCCAUACAUUGA